rnacentral:lncRNA from 1 species
UCUUUCUUGAUUUCCAUCUUUACGAUUAUGAAUAUAUAUAUAUAUAUAUUUUUUGAAGCCAUAAAUAAAAUAAAAUUAACAACGAACAAUCACACCACAUGUAUAACCACCAUGUUGAAGAUUGAAGUAAUUCUCAAAUAUGAUUUGAAAGAUGUAGAGAAUUGUUUUUUUUUUUUUUCGACGUAAAGAUGUAAAGAAUUGCUGUUGUUUUGGAUUUUAUAGAUUUUAGUUUAAUAUUAUAUUUUCACAAAAAUUCUUGAUUAUGGGGUUAGUAUUGGAAUAUUUAGUUUAAAAUUGAAAUGUGGGGUGAACAAAGUAUUUGGUGGGGUGCCAAUAGCCGCACCCUAUUUCAAAAUAUAAAAAUUAUUUAUUGAGGUUAAUUGUAGUCAAUUAAUUGGUGCUUUGAUUUCCAACAUAACAUUCAUUCCAUAAAUAUGUCUGUUACAAUUGUAACACAUAUUAACUCUUUCUUGUCCGUUACAAAGACUAAAGUUAUGAUUAAUUAAUGCUCAGUAUUAUGACUUGUAACCAAUCUUUCUUGUUGAGCUAUAUAUAUAUAUCCCUAUCUUCAUGUCCAUGACAUAUACAUAUAUAACAGUUGUACAUUAUCAUUAAAAUAUUCUUCUCAUUGGUCUUCUCAUUCUACUUGAUCAUAUGCUCUCUUAUUCAUCUUUCAAGUGCCAAAGAAAGUUAUCAAGCGGUUCUAGGAUCCGAGUAUUGCGAGUGUACGCUUACGAGGAUCAACGGUUGUUGUACCCUGGAGGGUAGACGCCAUAAACCUAUUACACCGAGACAUUGUCUCUGAGGGGCGAAAUCUACUCAUAAGGGCAGUGUUUACACGCCUCAACCUUAAACAUUUUCCUGAACAAGUAUUUGAUGCAGGCUUCAUAAUCAAAGAUAAGUAUUUAUAUUUUGUUAUUUUAUUGUUAUUUUGACAUCAUUAUAAGUAUUAUUAUUUGUUAAUAAUUUUGAGUAUUCAUGUGAUUUUGUAGGUGACAAAAUCUGGUGGCGUUAUUAACAUCCAUCGACCCAAAUCUUCCAACAAUCUUAAGAGUAGACUUCGUUGGUGGAUGUUUCUUUGUGGUAGAAACUUUGAUAUAAAUAUAAGUCUUCUACUACUAGUCUACUAUAUUACUUUAUAUUUUUUUUACGAGGUUAUUAUCAUUUAGAAGAGCUUUGAGAGUUUUUCUUCUGAACCCAAAAUGGUUGCUUUUAAUUUAUUUACUGAUGAAUUAUAUUGGGCUCUCGUAUUAUAUAAUUGUCAUCAUGUAUGCAUGAUUAUUAUAUUAUUUGCUUAGUAUCAUUUUAUCUGUUGAUACCGCUUACUUUACAUGGUUACAAUAACAUGUGUGAUAUUGUGAUGAUUGAACAACUUGCAUAUGUUACAAUGUAAAUGUGCUUAUAGUCUAAAUGUUUUAUGAGUAAGUAUUACAACGGGGAAUUAUUUCUUAGUAAUGCAUGCGGUAAUUAUAACUUAUAGUGUGUGUUAUUAUUACACUGCACUGACAUUGGUUGUUAUGACUGAAGGAAAAUAAAUAUGAUCGCCUUGAGGACAUGGUAGUUUAGUUGCCUAAUUAUAUAUUCUGGGUUACUCGGAAUAUGCUCAGUUAAUUGGCUCGGUACGUUGCCAUAAAGAUUUCUAGUUGCCUUUUGAAUUAGUGUAGCCUUUCAAAAUUGAUGGUUACAAAUGUGGGGGUGACUAAUGUCAUCUAAAGGUACAAAUUGGUACAUGCCAAGAUAGUUACCUAAAUAAAUGUGAGUGAUAUUGUCACGUCAGUAUAUAUGAGUUUAUGGCUAUCAGUCAUACCAAAAAAUGUGGGGGUCAAAGAAAAACCAGGAAAGGUUGGCUCUUAUGGUCCAAUAAUAUUGGAUAACUGAGAAUCCAAUUGUGAUUACUUAUUCUCGAGAAUAUUCAAUAAGUUUUAUAUGUGAGAGUUGUUUUUGGCAGAUACUCUUACAACCACUACGCUAAAGACCAAAGCUAGUGGUUAGUACAUUGAGGGGGAUGAGACUUAUGCCUAUAAUAAAGGUCAAGAGUGAUGGUAACCCAACCUAUGUGAUUGGAGAUNNNNNNNNNNNNNNNNNNNNACUUUGUUCUUAAUGAGUACCAUAGCCCUUACAUUUGGGUGGUGUGUUCGAUUCCAGUACACACUUGAUGGACUCACCUAUAUGAGUGUGGAAGUGGGGCCGCUUCCUAUGAGACUUGGGCAAGUCUUCUAGAGCACUCAUGAAUAUCUAGGUAGGGGCGCAUGGCCUAUUCGUGCCCACCCGCAGGACAAGCUUGAUAGAGGUUCAAUGUGGAUAGUAGCUCUCUGAUGCACAUCAAGAAAUUAUGGUUCAUAGAAAAUUUCAUUUUCACCAAAUUUCUGUGUGUCAUGGCUAUCUUAUCCUAUGGCUGGUUCAUAGUCGAAAAGACACCAGUUCAGAUGCAUUGUACUCUUAACUUACCUUUGGCACUCUUCUGUUUCUCUUAUUUUAUUUGAAUUUUUGCAUUUUGAAAUAUGUGAGGGAUUAUUGGAAUUUUUGAUGUGAUAUUUCAAAAUACAAAAAUUAUUUAUUGAGGUUAAUUGUAGUCAAUUAAGUGGUGCUUUGAUUUCCAACAUAACCUUCAUUCCAUAUAAAUAUGUCUGUUACAAUUGUAACACAUAUUAACUCUUUCUUGUCCGUUACAAAGACUAAAGUUAUGAUUAAUUAAUGCUCAGUAUUAUGACUUGUAACCAAUCUUCCUUGUUGAGCUAUAUAUAUAUCCCUAUCUUCAUGUCCAUGACAUAUACAUAUAUAACAGUUGUACAUUAUCACUAAAAUAUUUUUCUCAUUGGUCUUCUCAUUCUACUUGAUCAUAUGCUCUCUUAUUCAUCUUUCAAAUGCCAAAGAAAGUUAUCAAGCGGUUCUAGGAUCCGAGUAUUGCGAGUGUACGCUUACGAGGAUCAACGGUUGUUGUACCCUGGAGGGUAGACGCCAUAAACCUAUUACACCGAGACAUUGUCUCUGAGGGGCGAAAUUUACUCAUAAGGGCAGUGUUUACACGCCUCAACCUUAAACAUUUUCCUGAACAAGUAUUUGAUGCAGGCUUCAUAAUCAAAUAUAAGUAUUUAUAUUUUGUUAUUUUAUUGUUAUUUUGGCAUCAUUAUAAGUAUUAUUAUUUGUUAAUAAUUUUGAGUAUUCAUGUGAUUUUAUAGGUGACAAAAUCUGAUGGCGUUAUUAACAUCCAUCGACCCAAAUCUUCCAACAAAUUGUAAACUCAUCUUUUAACUUUUUAAAGUUUAUCAUAAUGCUUUUUAAGUUUAAGGUGAGCGGGAGGUGCAUUUGUUGGGAAUGUCAGUCGGUUCAUAACUUGUUUCUAAGAGAUUCUGUUUGGCAACUUGUUGGGUCCUUGAUCGUACAUGUACCCUACAUUUUUGUCCAUUUACUGUUUUGUUGAAAGCUGAGUAAGCGAACGUACAUGUACCUCUCUAGUCCUUUACAUUUAUAAAGGGAUAAAAAGGAAUCAUCCAAUCCACACAUAUAUGCAGUCACUUCUUUGAGAUUAAUUAUAGAGGCAUUGCUUUGUUCUUGUUAAAGUGGGCAACAAAUUUUAAGCACCCUCUUCACUUUACACAUCCACAUCUAAUAUAUUUAUUAGUGCUAGAGAUAUU